UCAUAACAUGAAAUUUCAGAACACCUGAGAUAAAGAUCCUAAAGCUGCCAGAGAGGAAAAUUACAGGUCACAAAUAAAAGCUCUGCAGUCAGGAUAGCACAGGAUUUCAACAGCAGAGAUGAAAUCUAGAACAACAAUGAAUUAAUGCAUUUAAAACUGCUUACCUACAAUUCCACGAUCAAACUAUCAAAGGAGUGAAAGAGUAAAAUAAACCCAUUUCACUCAGGCAAAGGUCUUGAAAAGUUUAUAUCCCAAUGACCUUCCCUGGGAUGCUGAAAGAUAUACUCCACCCAACAGGAAAGUAAACCAAAAAGCAGCAGCUAUGGGAUCCAGGAGACAGGAGAGGAAGAAAUGACCAGGGUGAAGGUAAAGAGAAAUCCCAGGGCAGAAGCUAUGCCUGAGGUCUAGAGAAUAACCAACGUGCAGUGGCUCACGCCUGUAAUCCCAGCACUUUGGGAGGCCAAGGCGGGCAGAUCACUUGAGGUCAGGAUUUCGAGAUCAGCCUGGCCAACAUGGUGAAACCCACUCUCUACCAAAAAUUUAAAAAUUAGCUGGGUGUGGUGGUGCAUGCCUGUAAUCCUAGCUACUCAGGAGGCUGAGGUGGGAGGAUCGCUUGAACUCAGGAGGCGGAGGCUGCAGUGAGCCAAGAUCACACCACUGCACUCAAGCCUGGGCAACAGAGUGAGACCUUGUCUUCAAAAAAAAAAAAAAAAAAAAAAAAAAAGAAUAACCAAAGUGCCUGUUCUGGGCUGAGUUGUGUCACUCCAAAAGUCAUGUUAAAGUUCUAACCACAGUAUCUCAGUAUGUGACUGUAUUUGGAAAUGGGCCUUUAAACAGGUAAAUAAGUAAAAGUGAAGUCACUAGAGUGGGCCCCAAUCCAAUAUGACCAGCGUCCUUUUUCUUUUUCUUUUCUUUUAAAUUGAGGUCCCAUUCCAAUUAGCAUCUUUUUAAGGUAAGGAAAUUUAGACACAGAGAGACACAAAGGGAAGACCAUGUGAAGACACAGGAAGACGGCCAUUUACAAGACAAGAAGAGAGGCCUCUGAAGAAACCAACCCUGCUGACACCUUGCUCUUUCCAUCUCCAGAAUUGUGAGAAAAUUAAUUUCUCUUAUUUAAGCCACCCAGUCUGUGGUACUUUGCUAUGGCAGCCCUAGUAAACGAAUAUAGCACUGAACCCAGAACAAGGGAACCAGGAAAGAUUAAGAAAAAAAAAAAGAAUUUGAUGUAUAUACAAGAUUACAUAAUGCUAUCAGAGAUUUGGGGGAUGAAUUCAUCAUCAAUCCAUAGGAAAAGAGGCAAACAAAUGAAGUAAAAGUGAGGGGGGAAAAGUGGUCUGAGAAACACAAUCAUGGUACACUAUGGCUCAUGAUGAAUAUUUAGCUAGUAAAUAACAUGAACUUAGAUCGCUGACUUAACCAAAGGUUGAGAAACAACUGUGGUGUGGUGUGGGUGGAUAUUAUGAAAGAGCUAAAUUCUUAUCUACCAUAGGAGGAAAUCAACAGGUAAUAACACUAAUGGAAAAAUCAAGAAGUGGCGAUAUAAGCACAUUAUUUAAAUAUGGAGGCAAAUGCCAAUAAAUAAUGCAAAAAUACUUAAAGUGGCUGCCUUUGGGAAAUGAUAUCCAGGAGUAAGGUGGAAGACCGCCCCUUUUCAUGAUAAUCUCAGUGGAGCUAUUUGAAUUGUAAACAACUCAUAGGUGUUUAUGAAUAAUGAAAGAAUUUUAAAACCUAAGCAGACCACUAAAGACCUUUUUAUUAAAUUGUAUAUAUAUAUAUAUAUAUAUAUAUAUAUAUAUAUAUAUAUAUAUAUAUAUAAUUUUGAGACAGAGUCUCACUCCGUGGCCCAGGCUGGAGUGUGGUGGGGUGAUCUUGGCUCACUGCAACAUCCGCCUCCCAGGUUCAAGCAAUUCUCCUGCCUCAGCCUCCCAAGUAGCUGGGAUUAUAGGUGAGCGCCAUCACACCCAGCUAAUUUUUGUAUUUUUAGUACAGAUGGGGUUUUGCCAUGUUGGGCAGGCUGGUCUCGAACUCCUGAGCUCAGGUGAUCUUGGCCUCCCAAAGUGUUGGGAUUACAGGCGUAAGCCACUGCAUCCGGCCUAAAGACAUUUUUAAACAAAAGACUUGCUAGUCCUCUUAGCCAGACACAGAACAAGUGUGUUAAAUAAAUAAGACAUGAAACAUCUAAUGGUGACAAGAUUUUUUAACAGGCCAUGUUAACUGAAAUGAGGAGGACACAGAGGGGACAAUAGGGUCAGGAAACUUUUUUGAAGGUGUAGUGUUUAUAUGAUGGCACUUCUGCUGACAGCGUCCUCCUCAGAAGUUGCCUGCCCAGGGGCUCUUUAAAACAGACUAGGUGGAUUUCCAUGUCUGCCCCUGCUUGUUCUUUUUGCCUCGCCAGUUGUCUUGCUCCGAUUUCUUCCCAAGUGGGCUUUCAUGAUGUAUUCAUGAUGAGCCUUCAUGACGUACUCUACAAGACUAGCCUUUUAGCAAGAACUUUUAUAUCUCUGUUAAAUGUGACAAGCAGAGAAAAACUGUAUAGCCAUCACUUAGAUGAAAUAUAGCAAUGUGACCAAGCCUAUGUUACAAAAAUCAUGUAGGUUUUACUUAUUUUCCUUUCUCUUUGUCCUUAACUUCCUCCAGGCAGGACUGCUUGCAUGUAGUCAUUUUGGUAGAGGGUAGUCACUAAUAAGUGAUUAACUUCAUAUCCUAACCCCCAGGGGCGGCUUGCAAGAUUGAUGAACUUGUUUUUCUUGUAAAGAACAAUGAUCCCUGGGUCAUGCUGACCUCCUUGAUGGCACCCAGAAGUUUGAUUGGCCAAGGGAUGCAAGCAGCUUUGAUAAUCAGGGGAUCUCACUUCCCAUAUACCUACCUUACUCAUAAAAGCCACUGGUUACGUGCAAAGGGAGGCUGAAUUUGAGAAUUUGCCUCUCCCACCCUCAUGCUUUGGUCAAAUUGAAUAAACCUUUCUCUGCUCUGAAGCACCGAUGUGUCAGUGUUUGGCUUACUGCGCAUCAGGUACUUGAACCUAACUUUUGGGGUUCUGCAACAGAUUUUGGCAACCAUGCCAGGUCUAGCAUGGCAAUAGGCCCUGGCCAGGUUAGGCGAACGAGUGUCCCAGCAGCUGCCCAAGUGUGUUGGUCAGGGGGCCCUAAAGUCGCUCUUCUAGGUCAGUGUAGGCUGCUGUUGGUACUCUAGAAGCUUAGAGCAGAGAAACAUCUCAGACUGCUAUCUGGACUUCUGGUUUUGGUUUGAAGGUUUGCAGGUUUCAAAUACUCCUGCUGCAACCAGAAAACGAAGAGGUUCAGGACAUUCCAGAAGAAAUUCUCACACAGGAACAGGAAUACUCCUUGGCUGUGGAUUAUACUGCUGUGGCACUAUAUAUGUGGGAUUGCAAGAUCGCCCUUCUCAAGCUCCUGACACCCUGUUCAACAAUGUUACAACAAAAUUGCCUAAGUCCCGGGACAUGUGAAUAUUUUCAACUGCAGGUAAGUAAGUUCCAUUCCUCAGCCCCCUAGGAAUGCCCCUUGCCAGCGGGAAGUAGUUAGACUGAGUCAACACCCCAACUGAAGAUUGAGGAAAGGAACAGUGUCAGUGGGGAUACUGUAACCCAGCCUAUAUUAGAAAAAUCAUCAGGUGUUUAUUUUACUUAUUUUUCUUUCUCUGUCCUUAGCUUCCUCCAGGCAGGAUCGCUCGCACGUAGUCAUUUUGGUAGAGAGCAGUCACUAACAAGUGAUUAACUUUAUAUCCUAACCCCCAGGGGCUGCUUGCAAGAUUAACGUACUUGUUUUUCUUUUAAAGAACAAUGAUCCUUAGGUCAUACUGACCUCCCUGAUGGCAUCCAGAAAUUUGACUGGCCAAGGGACACGAGCAGCUUUGAUCAUCAGGGAAAGCCCCCAAUUACAUGCAAAGGAAGGUCAUAUUUGAGAAUCUGCUUCUCCCACCCUCAUACUUUGGCCAAAUUGAAUAAACCUUUCUAAGCAUUAAUGUGUCAGUGUUUGGCUUACUGUGCACCGGGUACAUGAACCUAACUUUUGGGGUUCUACAACAGCAACCUGACUGAGCUAAUCACGUACAGCCAAGAACAGCUGAGCUACAGUAGCUCCUUAAAAUCAGGGUCCAGAUGUUGUUCAUAGAUGAGAGAAGAGAAAAUAACUAUCACAUGCAGCAUCAGACAUUCAAUGACACAAAUCCUCAAAAUCAGAUGCUUUAAAAAAUGAAGCCAAUGGCUGGGCAUGGUGGCUCAUGCCUGUAAUCCCAGCACUUUGGGAGGCCAAGGCAGGAGGAUCGCUUGAGCUCAGGAGUUCAAGACCAACCUGGGCAACAAAGUGAGACCUUAUCUCUAUCAAAAAUUUAAAAAUAAAUUAAUUAAAAUAAUUUAAAAAUGAAGCCAGGUUGCUCAAGUAUUCAUCAAGUAUUUACUGAGGCUUACUAUGUGUUAUGAUGAUGAGACACUUCUUUGAGCCAUCAAAGGUUUCUGGCUUCCUCUGCAACUAAAAAUAAUUACCCUCCCCAAUGAAGGGUCUGUGUGUUCCACAGGUAUAGCAGCAGAAGAGACAACUUGGAAAAAGUGAAGGUAGGCCAGGCACAGUGGCUCAUGGCUAUAAUCCUAACACUUUGGGAGGCUGAGGUGAGUGGAUUCGCUUGAGCUAAGGAGUUUGAGACCAGCCUGGGCAACAUGGCAAAACCUGGUCUCUAUUAAAAAAAAUACAAAAAAUUGGCCAGGCAUUGUAGUCCACACCUGUAGUCUCAGCUACUAGGGAGGCUGAGGUGGGAGGAUCACUUCAGCCAGGAGGCAGAGGCUGCAGUGAGCCUAGAUGGCACCACUGCACUCCAGCCUGGGUGACAGAGCAAGACCCUGUCUCAAAAAAAAAAAAAAAAAAAAAGGUAAGCCACAACUCCACUUAAGAGGAGAGGCAACUGGAGAAAGAUCCCAGGAGGUUAUAUUCAACAACGGAGCAAUAACACAGUAGUCUUGCUAGACAUCCACAGCCUUUAAAUGGACAUAUUCUACUCUGUUUAUCACCUUUAUAAAAGUUUUCAAGUUUUCUGGAUAGUUCUACUCAGUUGAUGGCAAUUACCCUGCCAGGUAACUUACUCACUAUAAUUGAAUAAACCAGCAAUCUGGUUUAUCAGUCAGUCUCUCUUGCUCAAUUGACAAUCCCUAAAAGUUCAUCCAUUCCUGUGUGAGACCGUAUAUCUGACAAUUCAGUCAAAGGAAGUUGGUCAAAUCCCACAACUGACUGCCAAAGAAAGUAAUAUCUAAUCACAAAAAUACCACAAUUAAUUACAGGUAGUAACUAGGUUCUAAAGAAAUUAUCUCCUAAGUAGAUUUUAAUAUAAAUUUUGAACAGUU
rnacentral:lncRNA from 10 species